rnacentral:rRNA from 1 species
GCUUACACAUGCAGUCGAACGAUGAACCGCUUUCGGGCGGGGAUUAGUGGCGAACGGGUGAGUAACACGUGGGCAAUCUGCCCUGCACUCUGGGACAAGCCCUGGAAACGGGGUCUAAUACCGGAUAUGACUGUCCAUCGCAUGGUGGAUGGUGUAAAGCUCCGGCGGUGCAGGAUGAGCCCGCGGCCUAUCAGCUUGUUGGUGAGGUAGUGGCUCACCAAGGCGACGACGGGUAGCCGGCCUGAGAGGGCGACCGGCCACACUGGGACUGAGACACGGCCCAGACUCCUACGGGAGGCAGCAGUGGGGAAUAUUGCACAAUGGGCGAAAGCCUGAUGCAGCGACGCCGCGUGAGGGAUGACGGCCUUCGGGUUGUAAACCUCUUUCAGCAGGGAAGAAGCGAAAGUGACGGUACCUGCAGAAGAAGCGCCGGCUAACUACGUGCCAGCAGCCGCGGUAAUACGUAGGGCGCAAGCGUUGUCCGGAAUUAUUGGGCGUAAAGAGCUCGUAGGCGGCUUGUCACGUCGGUUGUGAAAGCCCGGGGCUUAACCCCGGGUCUGCAGUCGAUACGGGCAGGCUAGAGUUCGGUAGGGGAGAUCGGAAUUCCUGGUGUAGCGGUGAAAUGCGCAGAUAUCAGGAGGAACACCGGUGGCGAAGGCGGAUCUCUGGGCCGAUACUGACGCUGAGGAGCGAAAGCGUGGGGAGCGAACAGGAUUAGAUACCCUGGUAGUCCACGCCGUAAACGGUGGGCACUAGGUGUGGGCAACAUUCCACGUUGUCCGUGCCGCAGCUAACGCAUUAAGU